rnacentral:rRNA from 1 species
CUACGGGUGGCUCCAGUGAGGAAUAUUGCACAAUGGGGGGAACCCUGAUGCAGCAACGCCGCGUGGAGGAUGACGCAUUUCGGUGUGUAAACUCCUUUUAUAUGUCAAGAAAAUGACGGUAGCAUAUGAAUAAGCACCGGCUAACUCCGUGCCAGCAGCCGCGGUAAUACGGAGGGUGCAAGCGUUACUCGGAAUCACUGGGCGUAAAGGACGCGUAGGCGGGUUGGAAAGUCAGGUGUGAAAUCCUACAGCUUAACUGUAGAACUGCACUUGAAACUUCUAAUCUAGAGUAUGGGAGGGGGAGAUUGAAUUAGUGGUGUAGGGGUAAAAUCCGUAGAUAUCACUAGGAAUACCUAAAGCGAAGGCGAUCUCCUGGAACAUUACUGACGCUAAGGCGUGAAAGCGUGGGGAGCAAACAGGAUUAGAUACCCGGGUAGGU